rnacentral:rRNA from 1 species
GGUCUGGUGCCAGCAGCCGCGGUAAUUCCAGCUCCAAUAGUGUAUAUUAAAGUUGUUGCAGUUAAAAAGCUCGUAGUUGGAUUUUGGGACUCGAGCGGCCCGGUCUGCCGAGAUGGUGUGUACUGGCCGCUCGGUUCUUCGUCUGCCGGUCUAGUUCCAUCCUGCACUUCACUGGGUGGGGCGUGGGCUCCGGCUCGUUUACUUUGAAAAAAUUAGAGUGUUUAAAGCAGGCCUAACCAAGUGCCACUGAAUACAUUAGCAUGGGAUAAUAAAACAGGACUUUGCGCCUAUUUUGUUGGUUUCUAGGAGGCGAAGUAAUGAUUAAUAGAGAUAGUUGGGGGUAUUCAUAUUUAAUUGUCAGAGGUGAAAUUCUUGGAUUUAUGAAAGAUGAACAUCUGCGAAAGCAUCUAUCAAGGAUGUUUUCAUUAAUCAAUAACGAAAGUUAGGGGAUCGAAGACGAUCAGAUACCGUCGUAGUCUUAACCAUAAACGAUGCCGACCAGGGAUUGGGAGACGUUAAAUGUAUGACUCCCCCAGCACCUUGAGAGAAAUCACAAGUCUUUGGGUUCCGGGGGGAGUAUGGUCGCAAGGCUGAAACUUAAAGGAAUUGACGGAAGGGCACCACCAGGAGUGGAGCCUGCGGCUUAAUUUGACUCAACACGGGGAAACUUACCAGGUCCAGACAUAGUGAGGAUUGACAGAUUGAAGCUCUUUCUUGAUUCUAUGGGUGGUGGUGCAUGGCCGUUCUUAGUUGGUGGAGUGAUUUGUCUGGUUAAUUCCGUUAACGAACGAGACCUCAGCCUGCUAAAUAGUUACGCAAACCGCCUGUAUGUGUGAAGCGCGGGCACGUUGGGGCCGGUUUCGAUCGGCUUCGGCUGCCCGCGUGGAUCACUGGCAGGUUUCGCGGAUACAUUUCUUAGAGGGACUAUUGGUGCCAACCAAUGGAAGUUUGAGGCAAUAACAGGUCUGUGAUGUCCUUAGAUGUCCUGGGCCGCACGCGCGCUACACUGAUUACUUCAACGAGUAUACCACCUUGCCCGACAGGGCUGGGUAAUCUUUUGAAAUGUAAUCGUGAUGGGGAUCGGUUGCUGUAACUGCGGCCGUCAACGAGGAAUUCCUAGUAAGCGCAAGUCAUCAGCUUGCGUUGAUUACGUCCCUGCCCUUUGUACACACCGCCCGUCGCUCCUACCGAUUGAACGGUCCGGUGAAGUCUCGGGAUCGCGGCGUCCAUCCGUUGGGGCAACUCGGCGGUAACGCUGUGAGAACUUGCCUAAACCUUACCGUUUAGAGGAAGGAGAAGUCGUAACAAGGUUUCCGUAGGUGAACCUGCGGAAG